rnacentral:lncRNA from 1 species
AGCAGCUCCGCCGGCAGCCGCGGGAGCACGGCGACGCCAGCGGCGGGAAGGGAAAAGGCCGAGGCAUCAGCGUGUGAAGACCGCAAAGACGAUCCCGAGUACAGUUGUGAACAGCAUUGCUGCUAGGCUCCUCCUGCAGAUCAUCUGAAAUGAACCUCUCUUAUUGAUUUUUAUUGGCCUAGAGCCAGGAGUACUGCAUUCAGUUGACUUUCAGGGUAAAAAGAAAACAGUCCUGGUUGUUGUCAUCAUAAACAUAUGGACCAGUGUGAUGGUGAAAUGAGAUGAGGCUCCGCAAUGGAACUGUAGCCACUGCUUUAGCAUUUAUCACUUCCUUCCUUACUUUGUCUUGGUAUACUACAUGGCAAAAUGGGAAAGAAAAACUGAUUGCUUAUCAACGAGAAUUCCUUGCUUUGAAAGAACGUCUUC